rnacentral:rRNA from 1 species
ACUCCUACGGGAGGCAGCAGUAGGGAAUCUUCCACAAUGGGCGCAAGCCUGAUGGAGCAACACCGCGUGAGUGAAGAAGGGUUUCGGCUCGUAAAGCUCUGUUGUUAAAGAAGAACACGUAUGAGAGUAACUGUUCAUACGUUGACGGUAUUUAACCAGAAAGUCACGGCUAACUACGUGCCAACAGCCGCGGUAAUACGUAGGUGGUAAGCGUUAUCCGGAUUUAUUGGGGCGUAAAGAGAGUGCAGGCGGUUUUCUAAGUCUGAUGUGAAAGCCUUCGGCUUAACCGGAGAAGUGCAUCGGAAACUGGAUAACUUGAGUGCAGAAGAGGGUAGUGGAACUCCAUGUGUAGCGGUGGAAUGCGUAGAUAUAUGGAAGAACACCAGUGGCGAAGGCGGCUACCUGGUCUGCAACUGACGCUGAGACUCGAAAGCAUGGGUAGCGAACAGGAUUAGAUACCCUGGUAGGAUAGCG